GUUUCCUCUUCCCUGUAACCAUCUUGAUUUUAACUUCCAUGGCAUUGUGAAUCGUCAGCAGUCAAUCGAAACCCUUAAAAAUUCAUGACCGAUGUUGAAGAUUUAGAGAUGUUUUAGUUGGAAAUACCCAUAUGGGUUUUUGAUGAAAUUGAUCGAAACCUUCAAUACAUCUUCCUGUUGUUCAGGUAUCAUACGAUUCUUCAAGACUUAAAAGUUCAUUCAUUCAUUCAGGUAUCAUACUUCAAUUUUAUUAAUUUGUUCUUCAAAUUCAAUUGGUUAGUUCCAUUGAUUAACAGCUUGAUAUUUUUCACUCCAGCUUUGCUAAGUUGAUUUUGAUUACUUUAGCUGAUAGAAUGUUUGGUACUUCAUCACCAGCCACUCAUGGUUAUCAAAGUGUCUGAGAUACUAACAACUUAUCGGCCUAUGAGUUGAGCAUGGUUGGCUCAUAACUUUUUAUAUCUUACACAAGUGUGAUGGGUAAAGAAAACACCAAACAGCCACAGCUUAGCUUAUAACUUAUCCUUUUAAAAGUUUAAGUAAUUUUAACUUAGAAUAUGAUGCCACUAGAAUGGAAACUUUUGCAAAUUUGAGUCUGAUUUCGAUGCUUUUAGUGAACGAGUUAGAAUGAGCUACUUCAAAAACAAGCCAAACUUAUCAUUGAAUUUUGUCUGUGUAAAAGUUUUUGCAAAAAAAUAACUUUUACAUCGUAUGAAGCUCGAGCUCGAGCUCGAGCUCGACUCGGUUGGACCCUACUUAUUUGAGCUCGAGCUCGGCUCGCAAAUAAAAUCAAAAGCUUGGGCUCGGCUCGGUUCAACCAUACUAAUAAGUAAAUAGAUAAAUAUAUUUUUCCUUAGGUAAUCAAUCUUGUUCCAACUAAUAUAAAACUGACAAUGAAAAUUCAACAAUUUGAUCCCUAAAAUAAUUUUUAUCCACAAAUACUAAAAAUCGUGACUUCAAACAACAAUAAUCAACAAUUUACUUUCAAAAAUACAAAUAUAAACACUCCUUAAAAUGCCAAUUAUCUUUUCUUUUUGUUCACUUUUUUAUAUAGCUGCACAAUAUCAUAUGAUCACUUGGAAGAAGAGAAAAUACUGUUAGAAGAGAGAGAGAAAAUGAAAAAUGUCUAAGCUAUCCUUCUACUUAUCAUUAUUUAUUGAGGUGGCAUUUUCUAAUUGGUUCUUACGGUUCUCGCAGCUGGGAUUAGUUUUCUCUUGAGCCGUAUCCUAUACAUACAUAUAUAUAGGCACAUCCUCCACAUCCUAUGCCCAUCCCCUUUAGGCCCAUACUCACACCCGCUUACGUGUGUACGCCUACGUGAUGGAGCAUCCUUUGAGGACUGCCCUCCUCCGCCUCAAGUACUCUUAUACACUAACUAGUCUAGUGGCUAGGAUGGAUAAGAAACCACCAUUCUUGUUGGAACUUUAAUCUUUUAAUUCAUGUGGUAAUUGUAUGUAGUCAAAGUCAAACUAUUUAUAAGUGUUAGUAUUGGUCAAACUAAUAGUCUGUUUAUUUAUAUGCAUGGGCUAGUAUGUAUUAAAGGGCCUUAGAAGUUGCAAGUCCAGGUCAUUUACGUAUCUAGGUUUAAGUAUGGUCAAAUUCGACCUAUGCAUGUUAACAGCAAUUAUGUAAUAUAAUAAAGUCACAAUUGAUGGCAAUUGUAUUACGAUUAUACAAUAACUAUUAUAUACAUAAUUGGAUAGCUCUAUAAAAAGGGAUUAUGUGAUAUGGUUAUGUAUGCUUGAUUUGACACCCCCUGCAUAAUUGUUUACUCGGCUUGUACUCAAGCAAGACAUUUACUCGCACAGGUACUUACUGCUAGAAUUUUUUGUUCGUGACUGACACCAUUAUCCAUUGUUACCUUUCUAGAGUUUUUAAAGAAUAUCUUUGAAUCUGUAUUAUGUUUUCAAAGUGUUGCUGCAUGGCUGGCACAAGAAAUGAACUUGGGGAGGGAGUUGGUUAUACAAUUUGGUUUGAAGAUGUGAUAAAUUCAAUGAUUUGAAGUUCAAAUAAUCUUAACAUGUAUAAACCAAAAAAAUUAAAAAAUUGAAGAAACCAAGUUGUCGCGCUACUCUUUCACACGACAAUGCUGAAACCCUAAUUGUCCCUCCCAAGCUGUCGCGCUCAAGAGUGAUGUCAAUUUAUGAUAAAGUACACCCACUUUCCUGGACGAGGAGCCAAUGGGGGAUAUUGAUGUACUUGUCUUUUUAACCGGUGAAGAUGAUAUUGAUACUGCAGUUCGGUUAAUCAGAGAAGAAGCCCAAAACAGUGACAAGGUUUCUUUAGGAGUCUCCGAAUAAGGAUGCGCAUACGUUCGUCAGAUGGUUGCAAGUUGUUCAGAUUCAAAAAAAGAGGAGAAUCCUUGAGCAGCGGUUGAAGGUUCUGCCUUCCUUGAACCAGUCUACCACUCAAUGGGACCAUGCUCUCUUUUCUAGUCCAUAAUGGUUGAAAAGGUGUGAAAAUCGGAUUCACCUCCUCACACCAGUCCAUAUAAAAGAUAUCUAGAAGUUAUAAUGUUACAGGUGAAGAAGAGACGAAUAUAUGAUAUGACAAAUGUUCUUGAAGGCAUUGGUCUUAUUGGAAAGGAGUCCAAAGCAAUAUCAUGCACACAUAUUAGGGCUCAACGCUUACGGUCGGCAACAAAAAGUUUCCGAAAAAAGUAUGGUCAGGAUGAUUUGUUGAACGAAACCAAUGUGCUGCACCUCUGGACUAAUUAUAGACCAUGGUUGAGUGAAACUCUUGAUGUGAAAAACUCAAUCGUAGGGACCAAUUAGAAUGGUGAUGAGAGACAAGUCCAGGAUCCACCGACUUCACGAGCCAAGCACAACAUGAUCAUCACCAGCUGCCACCAUUCUCCAAAUCUGGAAAAGUUUGUUGGGAGUUUAUCACAGUGGAGAGAAAUUGACACUUAGAAGUGUGCAAUUCAAGUUGAUUAUGAAAUAUAUUGUUGAAUGGACCUGUGUCAAUUGUAAGCAUCAGAGUUUUAUUUUUCAUAUUACUAUGGAAAGUACCUGUCCACCGGACGGUAUAGAACUAGUACUUUUAUUGGUUGUUUGUAAGAUUGAUGUUUAUUAGUUUAAUUAAGAAUCUUAAUUUGUUCACGUAUGUUUCCAUAUUGCUUUGGUAUUUGUUUGUACAUAUUGAAUAUUUUUAUCUACAUAUAGUGUGGUUAAUGU